GUGAAAACCCUAAAACACUUAGAAGCUCACGACACUGCUUUCGUUCGCUGCCAGCCUCGCGCGUGGCGGCGCCUCCAUGGUCGAGCGAACUAGGUGCCGACCGAUGUGAGAGCUUGGAGUCCCAUGGCGACUGCGAUGGGUUUCUACCGACGUGAUGGACAACGCAGGCAGAGAUGAGUCUACCAUCCUUUCCACCAGCCCCGCCCUGCAUGACGGCAAUGGCCGCCGCCGGCAGCCAGCUGUUAGACGGACCUCUUCCUCGCUGGCAGGGUGAACUGAGUUGAGGAGUGCUUCUUUCCUGGCUAUUUCGAGUUCGCGCGAGACUUAACACGCCUCCACGUCGUGCAACUCAAGGCCUAACUAGCCUCCUCGGCCUUACGAGAAGUAGUAGCACCAGCCGGGUAGCCUGAGGCCCAGCAGCUGCCGCCCGCUGCCUACAGAGAACAGAGUAUAUUGCCCAUGAGAUGGAUGCUUCUCUGCCCUGUUUGUUUGUAGCAUUUCUUAAAAAAAAAAUCUGAGUUAUGUUCUCAUGUACAUAAAGGAAGUGGAGUAAGAAAUAGAGUAGACGAGGGAUGAGAAAUCAUAUUUGCACGCAUGUAAUGUUUCAAGUCAUUACACCCUUGAUAUCGUUCAGAAUUUUUCAUUUA